rnacentral:lncRNA from 1 species
AAGGGUCCAUCUGGCAGAAGCUACAGUAGCUAGAGCCAGCCUGGCAGCGACUAGCCUAAAUAAGGUCAGGGCUCUCUGAAAAGCCAUGUUGGUCUUGCCAAUUCUAAGUCCCAUGACCAGGUCUGCUGGGCAUGCCCAGGAAGAGACUGGCUGUGGGUAGUAGGGGUAGCCACUCCAGAGGAUGGGGCCAGAUGGGGCUCUACAUAUGCCUGUGGCAGGUGCAGAGAUGGAUUAGCAAUGGGCACCGAAUGCCAGACAGGCACCGAGUUAUGUCGGGAUUGGGGUUUACCGGGGGUUAACACUCGUUGCUGUUGGCCGUUUAGUGAACAAUGCCUGCUCCCGACUGGCCCACGGGAUUUGAAGAGCUAAGCUGGACCUGUGAGCUGAGCUUCCUUCCAGCUCCCGUUUACCAUCCCCGAACAACUCGUCUGUGAAGCCUUGAAGUUCAGGCAAGAGAACUUGAAGAACCACCUUGCCUCAGCUGCUACAUCUCCUGUCAGCACAAGUGUCACAUCUGUCCCCACCAUGCUGGCCUGUCUGCAUCCCCCUGGAUCCUCAUGGCAUCUCUGGUCUGGGCCUGGGUGAUGUCAACCUUCCUUGUUUCUAUGCAUCCUUCCUGAGAUGAAGGCUCUACUCUGAAAGUAAAGGCUAUGGGACAGUCUCUGUAGGGUGAAUGGAAAUGGCCACCACAGGGGCUGGUUGAAGGCUUGUGGCACUAUGGAGGUGACCUUCCUUCUGGUUUGGUAGGGGACCUUCAACAGAGAUCUUCACUUUGUCAUGGGUGCUUUGGGGCUGGAGUCAAGCUGGCUCCUCUGGGUCCCAAGAUAAGUCCUGGCCUACACAAGGGAGCUUCUCUGUAGCAUUUGAUGACACUUCCAAAGAGAAUCAAUUUUCCAUCAUCACAAAUAAAGAAACCUGAGCCCCAGGCUCACCCAUCUUGACUGCCC